GAUGAACGCUGGCGGCGUGCCUAAUACAUGCAAGUCGAGCGAACAGACGAGGAGCUUGCUCCUUCGACGUUAGCGGCGGACGGGUGAGUAACACGUAGGUAACCUACCUAUAAGACUGGGAUAACUUCGGGAAACCGGAGCUAAUACCGGAGAAUAUUUCGAACCGCAUGGUUCGAUAGUGAAAGAUGGCUUUGCUAUCACUUAUAGAUGGACCUGCGCCGUAUGAGCUAGUUGGGAAGGUAACGGCUUACCAAGGCAACGAUUCGUAGCCGACGUGAGAGGGUGAUCGGCCACCCUGGAACUGGGCCACGGUCCUGACUCCUGCGGGAGGCAGCAGUAGGGAAUCUUACGCAAUGGGCGGAAGCCUGACGGAGCAGCGCCGCGUGAGUGAUGAAGGUCUUCCGAUCGUAAAACUCUGUUAUUAGGGAAGAACAAACGUGUAAGUAACUGUGCACGUCUUGACGGUACCUAGUAAGAAAGCCCCGGCUAACUACGUG
rnacentral:rRNA from 1 species